CUCUCUGGAAAGCAGGCGCGCCCCGCUCGGCGCGUCUCACCCAAGGUGAAAGCUGCGAGGGCCCCGGUCCUUUCGGUCAAUCUCUCAGGUCCGACGACAGAGGG
rnacentral:ncRNA from 2 species